rnacentral:rRNA from 1 species
UACGUAGGGUGCAAGCGUUGUCCGGAAUUAUUGGGCGUAAAGAGCUCGUAGGCGGUUUGUCGCGUCGGAUGUGAAAACCCGGGGCUUAACCCCGGGCCUGCAUUCGAUACGGGCUGACUAGAGUACGGCAGGGGAGACUGGAAUUCCUGGUGUAGCGGUGAAAUGCGCAGAUAUCAGGAGGAACACCGGUGGCGAAGGCGGGUCUCUGGACAGUUCCUGACGCUGAGGCACGAAGGUCAGGGGAGCAAACGGG